rnacentral:tRNA from 1 species
ACCUAGAUGGCUGAGUCCGUAAAGCAUGUGACUCUUGAUCUCAGGCUUGUGAGUUUGAGCCUCACAUUGGGUG